rnacentral:tRNA from 1 species
UCCCUGGUAGUUCAGUGGCUAAGACACUACACUCCCAAUGCAGGGGACCCAGGUUCAAUCCCUGGUCAGGGAA